rnacentral:rRNA from 1 species
AUUGAACGCUGGCGGCAGGCUUAACACAUGCAAGUCGAGCGGUAACAGGUCUAGCUUGCUAGACGCUGACGAGCGGCGGACGGGUGAGUAAUGCUUAGGAAUCUGCCCAGUAGUGGGGGAUAGCCCGGGGAAACCCGGAUUAAUACCGCAUACGCCCUUUGGGGGAAAGCAGGGGAUCUUCGGACCUUGCGCUAUUGGAUGAGCCUAAGUCGGAUUAGCUAGUUGGUGGGGUAAAGGCCUACCAAGGCGACGAUCCGUAGCUGGUCUGAGAGGAUGAUCAGCCA